UACGUAGGGGGCCAGCGUUGCUCGGAAUUACUGGGCGUAAAGGGUCCGUAGGCGGUGCGGUAAGUCGGGAGUGAAAUCUCUGGGCUUAACUCAGAGGCUGCUUCCGAAACUACCGUGCUAGAGUGCGAGAGAGGCAAGUGGAAUUGCGGGUGUAGCGGUGAAAUGCGUAGAUAUCCGCAGGAACAUCCGAGGCGAAAGCGGCUUGCUGGAUCGAAACUGACGCUGAGGGCCGAAAGCGAGGGGAGCAAACAGG
rnacentral:rRNA from 1 species